CUGAUGAAAAAACAGGGUCAGUGCAAAAAAAACAAAAGAAAAAAAGUUCUCCUCGACAAGUAGCUCCAUAAGGUUUUGUGAAGGCGCAGGUUGUGUGCUGUCUAGUGUGGUAGAAUGCGAAUUAGACUGUAUAACCUUUGUGUUCUGGGAUGGAUUCCUCUAAAUCACUUUUUUUAUCCCAAUGUACACAAAAAGUUUGGAGUCCAAAGAGCCACAGGACAUCUCCCCACCUGUCAAUUGUUAUGGACAAGGAGGACAGGAUGGCGCUCAGGUGUGACGUGUGAGAGACAAUCAACUUGUAUAUCAAACAAACUUACUCAUAUUGGAUAUCUGUUAAAUGUUUCUACCCUCUAGAGUUUCUGGUUACAGUCAAUGGUUUUUCGCUUGGUUUAGACCAAAGAUUGCCCCACGGGCCAACAUGUAAAGAGAUGUCAAGGACGAACCGUGAUGAUGCGCAUGAGACCACAACCUCCCCCUACCAGUGACAGCAGGAAACAUAUGUUAACAACAUUUCGUAACCUGCUCGUCAAACGGGGAAGAGACUGACUGUGUUGUGUAUUUGAGGUCAACCCACAUUUUAGUAAUGAACAACUUGUCCAUGUAUGCAGAGCAGCUGUGAGUGCGCUUGCCAGUCGAGCGGCGGUAAAAUUAACCUUGUGGAGUGUGUUGCUGCUCCCCAGGCAAAGCUGCACUGGACGGCUACACGUUGCACAUGCCAGGAAGUGCCGCUAUAUUUUCCAUACAUUUGGUUUAGCUCUCUAAGGAUAACUUUUGGCUCUCAGGCAUUGGUGGUAUAGUGGUUAGCAUAGCUACCUUCCAAGCAGUUGACCUGGGUUCGAUUCCCGGGCCAAUGCAAGCAUUUUUGUCUGCGGAAGUAACUCAUCUGCAUAGAAAGACAGAAUAAAUUGUACUAAGUUGUCUAAGAGACUACGAUCAAGGUGCUCUUGAGCAAGGCAACGAACCCUCUUUCCCCUGGAUACUGGGCUCAGCAUACAGUCCUUCUUUGUUCACCCCAUCAGUCUCUUACACAACCCUGCUGCAGAGGAACUACUAUGGAAAGUCAAGGAACAGCUUUUGGGAUCUGUUUAUAAUAUUUUGGACAUUUGUAGGCGCUGUGAAAUGUUUUCAAGAUGAGCUGAACUGCUGAAUCUUCGGUUCACAAACUUCAUUCAUCAUGAUAUUCUGUUCAUGAACAGAAACGAGUGCAAAAGAAAGCAUUUUUUCCCAUCAAACCAAGAAAUACAGUACAGUAUCGAAAUAAAUCAAGAAACACAUUAUUUGUUCAGCACUGCAUUUUAGCUUUGUCUA